rnacentral:rRNA from 1 species
GACGAACGCUGGCGGCGUGCUUAACACAUGCAAGUCGAGCGGAAAGGCCUCUUCGGGGGUACUCGAGCGGCGAACGGGUGAGUAACACGUGAGUAAUCUGCCCUUCACUCUGGGAUAGCCACCGGAAACGGUGAUUAAUACCGGAUACGACACGUCCAGGCAUCUGGUGCGUGUGGAAACUUUUUGGGUGGGGGAUGUGCUCGCGGCCUAUCAGCUUGUUGGUGGGGUAAUGGCCUACCAAGGCUUCGACGGGUAGCCGGCCUGAGAGGGUGACCGGCCACACUGGGACUGGGACACGGCCCAGACUCCUACGGGAGGCAGCAGUGGGGAAUAUUGGACAAUGGGCGGAAGCCUGAUCCAGCAACGCCGCGUGAGGGAUGACGGCCUUCGGGUUGUAAACCUCUUUCAGCACCGACGAAGCGAUCCUUUGGGGGAGUGACGGUAGGUGCAGAAGGACCGGCCAACUACGUGCCAGCAGCCGCCGUAAGAC